rnacentral:rRNA from 1 species
AGAGUUUGAUCCUGGCUCAGGAUGAACGCUGGCGGUAUGCCUAACACAUGCAAGUCGUACGAGAGUUUUUAACUCUAGUGGCGGACGGGUGAGUAACACGUGAGAAUUUGCCUUUAGGAGGGGGAUAACAAUUGGAAACGAAUGCUAAUACCCCAUAUGCUUUCGAGUGAAAUGGAUUUAUAUUAUCCGCCUAGAGAGAAGCUCGCGGCUGAUUAGCUUGUUGGUAAGGUAAGAGCUUACCAAGGCGACGAUCAGUAUCUGGUUUGAGAGGACGAUCAGACACACUGGAACUGAGACACGGUCCAGACUCCUACGGGAGGCAGCAGUGGGGAAUUUUCCGCAAUGGGCGAAAGCCUGACGGAGCAAUACCGCGUGAGGGAAGACUGCCUAUGGGUUGUAAACCUCUUUUUUCAGGGAGGAAUAAAAUGACGUGUACCUGAAGAAUAAGCAUCGGCUAACUCCGUGCCAGCAGCCGCGGUAAGACGGAGGAUACAAGUGUUAUCCGGAAUCACUGGGCGUAAAGCGUCUGUAGGUGGUUUAAUAAGUCAACUGUUAAAUCUUGAGGCUCAACUUCAAAAUCGCAGUCGAAACUAUUAGACUAGAGUAUAGUAGAGGUAAAGGGAAUUUCCAGUGGAGCGGUGAAAUGCGUAGAUAUUGGAAAGAACACCGAUGGCGAAAGCACUUUACUGGGCUAUUACUAACACUCAGAGACGAGAGCUAGGGUAGCAAAUGGGAUUAGAUACCCCAGUAGUCCUAGCCGUAAACUAUGGAUACUAGAUGUUGAACAGAUCGACCUGUGCAGUAUCAAAGCUAACGCGUUAAGUAUCCCGCCUGGGAAGUAUGCGCGCAAGCGUGAAACUCAAAGGAAUUGACGGGGGCCCGCACAAGCGGUGGGGCAUGUGGUUUAAUUCGAUGCAACGCGAAGAACCUUACCAGGGUUUGACAUGAUACGAAUUUUUUUGAAAGAAAAAAUGCCGUUUGGAACGUAUACACAGGUGGUGCAUGGCUGUCCUCACCUCCUGUCCUGAGAAGUUUGGGUUAAUUCCCCCACCAAGCCCACCCCUUAUUUUUAUUUGCCUUUUUUGGAAACUUAAAAAAAUGCUGGUUUUAACCGGAGGAAGGCGGGGAUGAAGUUAAGUCAGAAGGCCCCUUAAACCCCGGGGGCACAAACUUGUUAUCG